rnacentral:rRNA from 1 species
UAUGUAGGCGGCGCUGUUAGUCGGGUGUGAAAUCCCUCGGCUCAACCGAGGAAUUGCGCCCGAUACUGCAGUGCUUGAGGGAGACAGAGGUAAGCGGAACUGAUGGUGGAGCGGUGAAAUGCGUUGAUAUCAUCAGGAACACCGGUGGCGAAAGCGGCUUACUGGGUCUCUUCUGACGCUGAGAUACGAAAGCUAGGGGAGCGAAGGGGAUUAGAUACCCCCGUAGUCCUAGCUGUAAACGUUGAGCACUUGAUCGGGGAUCCCCCCAUAGGUUCUCGGUCGUAGCGAAAGUGUUAAGUGCUCCGCCUGGGGAGUAUGGUCGCAAGGCUGAA